CCUACGGGCGGCAGCAGUGGGGAAUAUUGGACAAUGGGGGGAACCCUGAUCCAGCCAUGCCGCGUGUGUGAAGAAGGCCCUCGGGUUGUAAAGCACUUUCAGUGAGGAAGAACGCCUGGUGGUUAAUACCCAUCAGGAAAGACAUCACUCACAGAAGAAGCACCGGCUAACUCCGUGCCAGCAGCCGCGGUAAUACGGAGGGUGCGAGCGUUAAUCGGAAUUACUGGGCGUAAAGCGCGCGUAGGUGGCUUGAUAAGCCGGUUGUGAAAGCCCCGGGCUCAACCUGGGAACGGCAUCCGGAACUGUCAAGCUAGAGUGCAGGAGAGGAAGGUAGAAUUCCCGGUGUAGCGGUGAAAUGCGUAGAGAUCGGGAGGAAUACCAGUGGCGAAGGCGGCCUUCUAGACUGACACUGACACUGAGGUGCGAAAGCGUGGGUAGCAAACAGGAUUAGAUACCCGAGUAGUC
rnacentral:rRNA from 1 species